rnacentral:lncRNA from 1 species
AUGCGGAGUUUCCCGUCUCUCCCUUUCCCGGGUGCCCGUGCGGGGAUGUGCGGUGCCGGGCUCCGGGAUGGGGCCGGACCCGCAGUUGUCUCUCCGUCAGCUCCCAGCUGGCAGCAGCUGCUGCUAAACCUCCCUUUCACGGCCUGCCAAAAGCGGCCGGGGUGCUCCGCUCCCCCCCUGCCCUUUAAUCCCGACUUUCAUCAUUCUCCAGGCUGGGCCUGCCCUCCGCUCCGUGUGUGGCAUCGCAAAGUCGGGGGCAGGAGCUGUGCCGGGCUCAGCUCCUCCUUCCCUCACCCCAAAUGUUCGCUGGGCUGCCCGAGGCCGGAGGAGCUUGGGGAGCAAUGGGUUAACCCAGGGAUGUGCGAGAUGCCCGCUGGAGCCCUCGAUGGGAGAGGACGCCUGGGCCAGCUGCGGAGGCGCUUCCUGCACGUAAGAGCAUCGAGUUGUUUAAUUCCAGUUUUUGGGAAAGAGACCAACCACCGAACGGUGUCAGGAGAGGUGACAAAGCCCCGUCCCCGCCGGAGGCACCGGGGCUGCCUGGGGUGCUCCCGGCCCCUGAGCCCUGUCCCUUGGCUCCUGCUGGCCCUUUUGGGGUGUCCCUGGUGCUCUCCCUUCCUUCCCUGCCUGGCCCGUCCCGCCCCGCUGGCCGCCGGGCCAUCCCGCUGCGGUGGAAAAUGCCCCGGCUGUGUCCCUUUGCUGGGCAGGAGCCCGGGAUUGCCCCAGGACCCGGCUGCCCUGGCACCACCAGCGCCCUCCGGCACGGGCAGCACAAGAGCAAGAAGACAAUUCCCCGUUUUCCUUGGAGUCCCUCCAUCCCUGGUGGAGCCAGAAGGGGGUUCAGCUGCAGCCACCCCUGCUGCUGGCACGCUUUGGCCCUGGCCAGCCCCAGGGACGUCUGAGCCCGCCUGGCCUUGGCUCCGGAGCCGGGCACAGUGCCAGCGGCUUUCCCAACGCCAGGGCACGGGAAUGCAGCCCAGAGCCCGGCUUGGCGGCAUGGAGCGGGGCUGGCACUUCCCUGGCAUGGAGCCGGGCUGCACAGAGCGGGGCUGGCACUUCCCUGGCAUGGAGCAGGGCUGCACAGAGCAGGGCUGGCACUUCCCUGGCACGGAGCGGGGCUGGCACUUCCCUGGCACGGGCAUUCCCUCCUGCCUGCACAAGCUCCUUUGCAGGUUCCUGCCUGGGCCUGGCUCCCCAAGGGUGGCAGGGCAGGGGGAUGUGGAUGUGGAUGUGUUUGUCCCGGCCGCUUUGCCCGCACUCAGCACAUUCCUGCUGCCCUCCGUGGAGCUGGGGCAC